UUUUUUUUUUUUUUGAACAAUUGGAUAUCUUAUAGAUAAAAUCGAAAGUGCAGAAAAACAUAAAGAUGGGCUAGUCCGUGCGUAAACAAAGAGAUAAAACAUAGGCUUUAAGGGCCUGCUUAGCUAGAAGAUCAGCAUCGCUGUUCUGGGAACGAGAGAUGUGAUUGAAGGUGAUAGAAUCGAAGCUGGAAGAGAGACUCUUGAUGUCUUGGAGCACACCAUAGAUUUCCUUAAGCUGAUUCGGGAUAGAGAUUGCUCCGAUGAGCGUUGCGCAAUCGGAGAGGAACGCGACCGAGGGGAGUUCCAGUUUCAUUACUUCUGUGAUUCCUUUACGGAGGGCCAGUGAUUCGGCCAUGAGAGGGGAGCCAACGUUGUCGAUGAUGCAUGUGCCUGACGAGAAGGAGCCCAAUUGUUAAUUAGUGAAUCGCCAAGCAGUACCUGCUCGCUUUGAUGACGCCUCCCAAGCUGCAUCUACGAAACAACAGAUUGUGUGGUUUUUCCUGGGGGCUUGUCGCAAGGGUAAUCUCACAGGUACCAGCAGAUUCAUGGGAGAACUGGAGUUCUAAUCCCUGUAGGUGGGAGGCAGAUCAUUUCUCUGGCUUUCACCAUCAACGUUUUGAAAUCUGCCUCCUCCUCAAUGCGAAUUGGUGACUUGAGGGGGAUAAAACGGCAAACUGCUGUGGCAAAGGGGCAUUGGAAGAAGACGUGCAUUGCUGUUGAUAUUAAUAGGUCUUACCAAGUAAAGUAUGCAAACCGUUUUGUGAGAACCCACUGUUAGUAUGCACCAAACCGAUAAUGUAGACUAUACAUGUAUUGAAGGUUAGAAAAAUCACAAGAAAAUGUCAUUUUUUAGUCAUC